GGGGAAUAUUCCGCAAUGGACGAAAGUCUGACGGAGCAACGCCGCGUGAGUGAUGAAGGUUUUCGGACUGUAAAGCUCUGUUGUUUAGGACGAAAGUGCCUGUUGCGAACAGUUACAGGUAUUGACGGUACUAAACGAGGAAGCCACGGCUAACUACGUGCCAGCAGCCGCGGUAAUACGUAGGUGGCAAGCGUUGUCCGGAAUUAUUGGGCGUAAAGAGCAUGUAGGCGGAGAUUUAAGUCUGUUGUGAAAAUGCGGGGCUCAACCCCGUAUUGCGAUGGAAACUGAAUUUCUUGAGUGCAGGAGAGGAAAGGGGAAUUCCCAGUGUAGCGGUGAAAUGCGUAGAUAUUGGGAGGAACACCCGUGUCGAAGGCGCCUUUCUGGACUGUGUCUGACGCUGAGAUGCGAAAGCCAGGGUAGCGAACG
rnacentral:rRNA from 1 species